CGAAAAAAGGUCCGUUUUUUCAUUUUCUGAGACCGGAAGUGGUCAUCAGCAAGUUUGGAGCCAAACAGAGUACGGUGCAUAGACUGUACAUAAUUUUUUUUUUCGUGAGUUUUCAUGGUCAAAAUGAGAGAUCAGGUGGCCGAUCUUAAAAUAAAUCAAUAUUGAUUUUUUUAUAGAGCGUUAAAGUUUUGCGAAGCCAGGGGGCGGGACUACUUGAUUGACAGGUCCUAUGGAGGAAGCAGCAGAGACUCUACUCUCCUCGUUUGGAUUAAUUCUGGUAUAAUAACUGUUGGUUGAUUUAUCGGUGGAGCAGCAGAACAUUUUCCACAGACAGUUUUCCUGCCCGUUGGCUUGUUUUAACCAGUUUUCUACCUUCGGCUGAUUCUACCAGCAGACACUGAAAGGACUCUAAUAGUUUGAGUGAAAGCAGCAGUUCCUCCUUAAGGUCAGAGAUUGCAGCAUCUGAGGGCCUCUUCAAAAGAAAACGUAGUUGAUGAAGGCGUUCUGGAGCAGGACCAGAAAGACCACGACCAAGCAGCCUUGAGAUCUUAGGCAGCGUCUCCCUCGGGUCCCUCUCUAUCUCCCCACACAUCCACCAACCACUGGAAUACAUCUCCAAAGUUCUGCAGGGCCAGCUCAGCUUCCCCUCAGAAGAAGUGGCGCCACCUGCCAGAUGAAGGAGCCUUUUGAGGCAGCUGGCAUCGUGAUUGGACUGUACUUUGGUCGUUUCCAAUCCAGCUUCAGCUCCAGAGACGGCAGGCGGGACGAGUCAACGGAGGCCUGGUGGACGAAGGCAUGCAGCUGAGUCGAAAAAAAAAUGCGAUUUUUCAACAUGUUGUAAAAACGUGCCAUAUGAUGAAAUAAUGUAAAGGAGGCCGUGAAAAACACUCCAGAAAGGUUUUCUUUGAAAAAAAAUCAUCAUGAAUUUUGGCGCAAAAAAACGCCAUAGUCGAAAAAUGUGAUUUUUCAACAUGUUGUAAAAAUGUGCCAUAUGAUGAAAUAAUGUAAAGGAGGCUGUGAAAAGCACUAUGGUAAGGUUCUCUGAAAAAAAAAAAUCAUCGUGAAUUUUGGCGCAAAAAAACGCCAUAGUAUACUAUGUCGAAAAAAAAUGAGAUUUUUCAUCAUGUUGUAAAAACGUGCUAUACGAUGAAAUAAUUUAAAGGAGGCCAUGAAAAACACUCCAGAAAGGUUUUCUUUGAAAAAAAGAUCAUCAUGAAUUUUGGCGAAAAGAAACGCCAUAGUAUACUAUGUCAAAAAAAAAGCGAUUUUUCAACGUUGUAAAAACGUACCAUAUGAUGAAAUAAUGUAAAGGAGGCCGUGAAAAACACUAUGGUAAGCUUUUGUUUGAAAAAAAAAAAUCAU